AUACCUUUCUCAGCCUUUUGGCUAAAAUCAAGUGUAGUAUCUGUUCUUAUCAGGUUAAAAUCUUAUUAUCAUUAUCACAAUAAGGCAUAUACUCUUU
rnacentral:snRNA from 1 species